CCUAGGUGGUUCUCUAGAAGUUUCAGUCAUUUGAUUAUCAGGUUUAACAUGGAUUAGCUGUUCAAUUUCAGAAUUAAGUUCAACUAGGUCAGAAAAAAAAAUUUUUACCGUGCAUGUACCAGUGCAGACUCUAAUAUGUGUGGUUCAAUUUUUUUUUUUUAAGAAGAAGGAGAAAGGAAAGAGAAGAGGAAGAAAGAGAGAA
rnacentral:lncRNA from 1 species